CAAUUCUUUGUUAUCUGAGCAAAAUUCAGUUACAUAUAUUUUUUGCAAUACUUUUGUCAGGUGAAAAUAUUUGGCUACACGGCUGGUUACUCAAGUGUGAAGUGAGUAGAUUUGAGUGUAUAAAUUAUCAUGUGAUCAACAGGUUUGAAUUGGGCUUCAUUUUAGUUUAAAUUGAUCUUUACUUGGACAAACCCCUGUGUUUUUCCUUAAAAAUUUUUGGGGACAUCAAAUGAGUUCAAAGUUAUAGAAGAUUUAAGGUAAGUUAUAGAAGAUUUAAGGUAUCAUUUAUUUAUCAUAAAUUUCUUUAAUGUGAUCUGUUUUGUUUGAUUUACUACUAGAGAUGUAAAACAUCUUCUUAAUGUCUGUGCAUGUCUAUAUAAUACAAGCUUUACUUGAGUUACAGCAUAGAGCUUUUACUUUAACCAUUUAAGAUUCAUGAUUGAUUGUUGGUUGCAUAAUGUCCAGUGGCAAAUAUAACAAGAAGAAUAGAGCUCACAUUCAUGUAUCUGUCUAGGGAACAAUUAACAGUUUAACCAAUCAAAUUUGGGUAAAGUUUUUGAACUGGUUGGCAAAACUUACUGAAAACGUCUAUGUUGAAAACCUUGUAUUGUAGGGUCAAUAGACUCAAAAAUAUUGAGUCUAUGGGAGCAACAUUGCUAAAUCAAAAAAUUUCCCAACAAAACUUUAGGGAAGGUAUGGGUACAGUAAACACACAUACUUUUUUGUUUGCAACAUAUUUUCUGGAAUAAUUUUAAUAUUAAAUGUUUCUUUUCAGUACUUUGACACUACAAACUUAGUCAUCUAAAAUCUAAAUUGGUAUUCAGAUGCAUCUAGGAAAGCAAGACAGUAUAUCAACUUCAUUUCACAAACAUGUUGAUUUUCCCUUGAUACAGUAGACCAAGUGAAUACAGGUAUAGUCAAAUAGUUUAUUACAAAACUUAAUCAAUUUUUUUUUUACCAUCCAGAUUACUAGCAGGUUUAUCUGAUAAUAUAUUGUACUAUAUGUAUAUUAACAAUUAGAUUGUAAGUUUCUGUGGUGAUCUAAACUAAAUAUACCUAAAAAAAAAAAAUCAUAAAUGUUUGAGACCGAAAGCUUCUGGAUUAGUUUUUUGAUGAUGAAUUUCUCCAAAAAUUCUUUUUGAUAAACUUUUCUCAGAUUUGACUACUAUUAUGAUUUGGACAUUAAAGUAUACAGCGGUAUUCAUCUUUGAUAGACCUAGUGCUACAGUUUAAUAGGUAAACAAAGAAUAUGCACACAGGAAUAUCCAUCCAGAACACAAAAUCAGUACAUAGACAGCAUAAAUAAACGAACAAAAGAAAGGAACAGUGCUUUUAUUGCUGUUCUUCAUCUCAUACAUAAUAAUUUUCACUCAAAAGUUUGAAUAAGUUUUUAAAAAAAAAUUAAAUGUAUGAAAAUAUACUUUUUGUUGCUAUUAUUGAUAUACAAGUCAUUUAUACAGACAUACAUUUUAUCAAUGAAAUUUAUCAUUAUAAGUUAUAAAUAAGGUAAUAUAAGUUAAGUACACUUUUUUAGCUCACCUGGCCUAAAAAUGUGUCCGGUGACCGAGGCCACCAACCAAGAUUUAUAAAGAAUGAUAAAUAAUAUAGAGUUUUAAGUUCCAUUCUUUCAUAUUUAUUAAAAAGAAAUGAUGUUUUAGAGGAGCCAACAACUGAGCAGAGAGCAGAAGAGAGAUUGAUGACCUUGAAGAGUAAGCAAUGUGAACAGUAAGACAGCUGUUAAGUAUAUCUGGGGUUACCAAAUAUUAUGGUAAGAACCUCAUCUAUAAUCAAACUUGGUGAGUAUUCUUUUUGUUGGUUAGAUAUUAUGCAUCAUUAUGAAAAAAGGGGGAUGUAGGGUAUAAAUCAACAAGGCAGCUACCCAAUGAAAAUAAAUAACCAAAGACAUCUACAGGUCUUCAACUAUAGACUGAUGUUUAUACAAUACAUGAACUUGUAAAUCAUCCAAAGUCUAAAAGAUUUGUGAAUAAAAUGAACAGACUAACAAAUAACUUACAUACACACCAAUAUCUGACCUAAGCACAUGAGCAUGUUGCAGGGUGAAACUUUUUUAUAUAAAGCCCACCCUUUUUGUGCAAUGCCUAACCAAACUACAAAAUUUCAUACAGAAAACUUUUCAAAUUGAAGGGUUUCAAAUUUUGAAUAAGCUAAUUUGUUCUUUUAAAAAAAAAAUGCCAGAUGCAAUUAACAAACAACAAAAUAUUUGGAAAUCUUGACUCCCCCGCAAGAGAAAAAUGUCACUCUUAUUAUUGAGGAAAAUGGCCACUACCUCAAUGGUCUUUAAAAUUAAUUCAGUUGCUCUGGUCAUUUUUCAAAAUUUAACAAGUGAAUGGAGUUGUUUUGAUGAAGCUUACCUUUAAUCAAUGGGAGAUAACUGUGACCACAUGGAUCAUAAUUCUGAAAACUUAUCCUGAAAUCCUGGGCUUAAAAACUCGAAAUCCUGAGGUCCCGAAUUUAAAUAAAUUUAAAUCUCGACAUCCCGAAUUUUGAAAAAAAGAAUUCCCGGAUCUUGAAAGGGUCAAUCCCGAAAUCCUGAGCUUAAAAACACCCAAUCCCGGAGUCCCGAUAAAGGUCCUAUCUACCCUCAUAUCUAUAAUUGAUAACUAAGAUAAAAGAAAUACAGAAAUUGUUUACAUUAAAUUGCCUUUUGCCAUGCUUUCAUCAACAAAAGAUUUUUUUUUUCAUUUUCCAAAAUAAAUUCCAAGGCUAAGAUGUAGGAUGCCAUUCUUCUAACAAAAUACCACAGCAUGGAGACCCAAAUCAGCACACUAAAAUGUCCAAUGUGUGUCCUACAUCUUGAAAUAAAUAUCAUUUUAUAAAUGUUCAAAUAUCUUCAAAAACAUUUUUUUUUUUUACUCAUUUCUACUCUGUUGAGACUAUUUCACUAGCACUGCACUUUGACUUUGACUAAGACAAACAAAAUGUUUAUUGAAGUUGAAUGGCCUUAGUGAUGACUUGGUUGAGGACAUGGAAAGCAUUUUGUCAUUGUUGGUUGUUUUAUGGGCUUUGACCUCUUGAGUCAUAAAGACCUUAUGUAUGUUAGUUCCAUUGAAAUGUUCAAUGCAUUGUCAAUGCUAAACAUUUGAUUGACUUUGACUGAUUUUUUUUUAGUUUCUGAAGAGUAUAAAUGAGUUUGAACAAAAUGCAGCA
rnacentral:lncRNA from 1 species